CCUACGGGCGGCAGCAGUGAGGAAUAUUGGUCAAUGGGCGGAAGCCUGAACCAGCCAAGUAGCGUGCAGGAUGACGGCCCUACGGGUUGUAAACUGCUUUUAUACGGGAAUAACGCGCCUUACGUGUAGGGCUUUGCAUGUACCGUAUGAAUAAGGACCGGCUAAUUCCGUGCCAGCAGCCGCGGUAAUACGGAAGGUCCGGGCGUUAUCCGGAUUUAUUGGGUUUAAGGGGAGCGUAGGCCGCAUGUCAAGCGUGCUGUGAAAUGUCCGGGCUCAACCCGGGCCUUGCAGCGCGUACUGGCGUGCUUGAGUCCGCGGAAAGCAGGCGGAAUUCGUCGUGUAGCGGUGAAAUGCUUAGAUAUGACGAAGAACCCCGAUUGCGAAGGCGACUAUCUGGCACAUAACUGACGCUGAGGAGCGAAAGCGUGGGUAGCAAACAGGAUUAGAUACCCCUGUAGUC
rnacentral:rRNA from 1 species